ACAUACAAUGCAGUCGAGGGGCAGCGGGUAAGUAGCUUGCUACUUAUGCCGGCGACCGGCGGACGGGUGCGUAACGCGUAUGUAACCUACCUUUGACAGGGGGAUAACAUCGAGAAAUUGGUACUAAUACCCCAUAACAUCACCGGAGGCAUCUUCGGUGGUUGAAAACUCAGGUGGUCAGAGAUGGACAUGCGGUGUAUUAGCUAGUUGGUGAGGUAACGGCUCACCAAGGCGACGAUACAUAGGGGGACUGAGAGGUCAACCCCCCACAUUGGUACUGAGACACGGACCAAACUCCUACGGGAGGCAGCAGUGAGGAAUAUUGGUCAAUGGACGCAAGUCUGAACCAGCCAUGCCGCGUGCAGGAAGACGGCUCUAUGAGUUGUAAACUGCUUUUGUACGAGGGUAAAUCCCGAUACGUGUAUCGGGUUGAAAGUACCGUACGAAUAAGGAUCGGCUAACUCCGUGCCAGCAGCCGCGGUAAUACGGAGGAUUCAAGCGUUAUCCGGAUUUAUUGGGUUUAAAGGGUGCGUAGGCGGUUCGAUAAGUUAGAGGUGAAAUCCCGGGGCUCAACUCCGGCACUGCCUCUGAUACUGUCGGGCUAGAGUUUAGUUGCGGUAGGCGGAAUGUAUGGUGUAGCGGUGAAAUGCAUAGAGAUCAUACAGAACACCGAUUGCGAAGGCAGCUUACCAAACUACGACUGACGUUGAGGCACGAAAGCGUGGGGAGCAAACAGGAUUAGAUACCCUG
rnacentral:rRNA from 1 species